ACCUGUGGUCUGAUACGGCCUCGAGAACCACCCAGGCACCGGCGCCCCGGAGGACGGGGCAGAGCCACGCAGGCCCCGCUUCCCGCGCUGUGCGACACCUCUGAGCACCUGCGCCCCCCGAGCGGCUCCAGGGGACGAGAGCCCUGUGUGGCCCCAUCUGGGGUUUGUGACGUCCCCUCGCCCAGCAGGGCCCCCCCCCAGGCCUUGGUCAGGGGCCCCCUGGGGUUUGCUGUUUGGCCUGAGCCCUCCUGAGAUGGGCUGUCAGGGGCAGAAGUCCAGAGUGGAGAUGACCCCACGCCCCCAGAGCUUGCCCCCUGCUGGGCUUCGGGCCAUCAUGCCAACUCACCGCAGCACCGGGCAAGCCCUUGCCCCCUACAAGCCUCCCCCGGGGGCCCGUCACCCCGGGACUCCCGGCAGCAGAUAAGACAUCUCGUCCAAAUCCCAGCCAGACGGACGCUCCUGCAGGAACUAUGAGACCCAAAACUGCACCAGAAAGACACAGACAGCUCCUGGCUUUCAGAGCCACCUCCGGCGCCGCACCACUCACCCUCCGUCCGAAUGUGCAAGCUCAUUGUUUGGAAGGUGCCCUACAGCACAGGCUGGUGUUUUCCGUGGCUUCGUUUGGGCCCCGUGCUAAAGGAGCUGCCUUCUUUGGGCCAUCUUGGUCCCUCAGGAGCAGACGACUCCCCCAGAGAGGCUACCACCCCCAAUCGCACGGCAGAGUGCUAACCAUGGGCCAGCUCGUCCCUGCCGUGCUCCCUGCCCCUCGCUGGCUUCCUGACCCUGGGAAUGGCUGGAAGGCACCACUUCCCUUGACUUCUCCCUCAUCUUCAACGUCUGGUCACUCCCAGGACACAUCGGGCAUAUCCCUAAAAGUUUGUCAGACUCAUCAUCAUUUGAUUAAGCGUCUUUUCCUGUGCAAAGUCUUUGACAGUUUGUGGAAAAGCCCAAAAGCCCCAGCUUGGUGAUUGUUGGAGGCUGGCUCAACGCAUGUGGUCCCGCCCCCUGCGAGCCCCCCUGCAUACCCUCUGGGCUUGGGCCGUGGAGCAGCCCACCCGGCUAAAGCCGAAUGCUCUGUCCUUGCCCAUCUCCAAAGCCUCCCCCAGGAAGCUGCCAGACUCCCCGCCCUCCCCAUCCAGAGGUGCGUCAACCUGGGACCGGGCUCAAGGCUCUCUCCCCGUUUGGGUGGGAACCCCUGGAGGGCAGAACCAUCCCUGUCCAGUGUCAGCACCGCAGAAGGCAUCUGGUAAGAGUUUGUCCCCUUGGUAGACAGAGAGUGCACGAAGGCUGCACAGACACUUUGACACAUGUACAAACGCGAACGGCCUCCUACAGACAAGCACACAAACACAGCCCUACCACUCCUGGGCAAGCAGGGACAUAGUUACCUUCACAGACACAGUGCUCAAACUGGAACUCAGACACGUGUACAAGUGUGCACAUGGACCCACGGGCAAGCGUGCAGACACGCAAGCAGGCCAAAGGCUCAUGGGCACACACAUAUACAUGCACAAGCGUGCACACAGGUGCAUGGGCAAGCGUGCAGGUGGGCUCAAAGGUUCAUGGGCACACACAUGUGUGCACAAACAUGCACACAGACACACAUGUGCACACACAGGGACCAAGGGCUUACGCCUACAUGCGCGUGGGGCACUGCAGGACUCCUCUGGGGCCCUGCGUGGGCUUUGGGGCUGGGCAGUCAAGUGCGCCCUGAGGUCUGAGCCUGGAAAUGAAAAUGUGCCUGUGGGUGGGAAG
ensembl:lincRNA